rnacentral:rRNA from 1 species
CCUACGGGCGGCAGCAGUGGGGAAUAUUGCACAAUGGGCGAAAGCCUGAUGCAGCAACGCCGCGUGAAGGAAGACGGUUUUCGGAUUGUAAACUUCUGUUCUUAGUGAAGAAUAAUGACGGUAACUAAGGAGCAAGCCACGGCUAACUACGUGCCAGCAGCCGCGGGAAUACGUAGGUGGCAAGCGUUGUCCGGAAUUACUGGGGGUAAAGGGAGCGUAGGCGGGACGCCAAGUCAGCUGUGAAAACUACGGGCUUAACCUGUAGACUGCAGUUGAAACUGGAUUGCUUGAGUGAAGUAGAGGUUGGCGGAAUGCCGAGUGUAGCGGUGAAAUGCGUAGAUAUUCGGAGGAACACCGGUGGCGAAGGCGGCCAACUGGGCUUUAACUGACGCUGAGGCUCGAAAGUGUGGGGAGCAAACAGGAUUAGAUACCCUAGUAGUC